rnacentral:rRNA from 1 species
GUCAUCGCCAGUUGUUGGCUAAGCCUGAGUUGCAAACCUUUGGUGGGAGGCUUUGAAGCGUGGACGCCAGUCUGCGUGGAGCCGACCUUGAAAUACCACCCUUUAAUGUUUGAUGUUCUAACGUGGACCCGUGAUCCGGGUUGCGGACAGUGUCUGGUGGGUAGUUUG